rnacentral:rRNA from 1 species
GUAGGGAAUAUUGCGCAAUGGACGAAAGUCUGACGCAGCAACGCCGCGUGGAUGAUGAAGCACUUCGGUGCGUAAAAUCCUGUCAGUGGGGACGAAACGGUCAGGUAGUAACUGCCCUGGCCCUGACGGUACCCACAGAGGAAGUUCCGGCUAACUCCGUGCCAGCAGCCGCGGUAAUACGGGGGGAACGAGCGUUGUUCGGAUUUACUGGGCGUAAAGGGCGUGCAGGUGGAUUAGCAAGUCAGGGGUGAAAACCGUAGGCUUAACCUACGGCCUGCCUUUGAAACUGCCAAUCUUGAGUACGGGAGAGGAAAGCGGAAUUCCAGGUGUAGCGGUGACAUGCGUAGAUAUCUGGAAGAACAUCGGUGGCGAAGGCGGCUUUCUGGACCGAUACUGACGCUGAGGCGCGAAAGCCAGGGGAGCAAACAGGAUUAGAUACCCGAGUAGUCC